GGAGGAGUGGCAGAGUGGUCGAUUGCACCGGUCUUGAAAACCGGCGUGCGUGAAAGCGUACCGUGGGUUCGAAUCCCACCUCCUCCGCCA
rnacentral:tRNA from 17 species